CUAAAGCAUCGGUGAUCUGCGUUUAUGAUACUUUAUAUUCUCUGAGAUUUAACACAACACAUUAUAAAUAUAUUUAGUUUCAGUUUGCUCAAGGGAGAGGUCACCUACAGAUUUGGUUGUGUGAGAUGAUUCAUCCAAAAAUAAAGAAGAAAGCAGAGUUAUGGGUCAGUGUUGAGUGUAAAAUGGAAUAUUCCACUGGAUUCCACAUACUCUCAGUACUGUGUACUGCCUGUGUCCUGUUCUGUAUUUAUUGUAGGACAAUGGCAUCAUUCAUGACUGAAAUCAUGCAAAUCUUAAACGCAUUGGCAGCAAAUGAAGAAUUAGGUAGUGGAGACAGACAUUGCCAAGGCAGCGCGGUCGGCGCUGCUCUUGGGAUGGCUCUUGGUGGCCCAUGUGGAUUAGCAGCAGGUGUUGCUGCAGGAGCUGAGUUGGGAACUUGCCUGAGCAAGAGUUCUAAACGUCUAACCAAUGUCCGCAAGGAGCAAACACCUGAAACAACCCUUUGUGCUGGGCUUUGGCAGUUGCUUAAGGAGCUGGUCUGCUGGGCUGUGGAUGUCUUGAUUGCGAUGCUUUUGGGAGAUACAAAGUUAAAGGACAUGGUAGUGGAUUUCAUCAGAUCUUUUUUUGAUCGUUCACUGAAGAUGUUGAUCAAGAAAAAAGCAUAAGAGUGUGAAGGAUACAAUAAAGAAAUAGUGUGAAUAUCAAAGCAAAUGCAGUCUGUCAGAAGAUAAUUCAUUUCUAUCUUGGGGCAAAAAGCAAAUAAAGUGAAAAAAAGAAGAAAUGAAAUCUGUUACUAGUGGUUUUGGGUUACUUGUUUGAACUAUUGUUCUUAAUGUGCUCUCCAACAAAUAUGGUCAUGAAUAGACAAAAUUUCAGAUAUCCUCCACUCAUCAUAGUAACACAGGAAAAAAAAACAUCACAAAUUGAUAUUUUUGUCACAUGGCAUUCUGUUUCUCUAUUUUUUUUUACUUUAAUUUUGGAUUUUUUGAAUUCUGAUUUGUGAACAAACAAAUAAACAAUGUAUAAUACCUUUAUUACACUGUGUAAACUUUACAGGACACAAUAAGUACACUGCAGUUGACAAAGACACACAUGUAUAAAAUUAUGGAAAAUGAUUAAUAAAUUGAA